UACAGAGGGUGCAAGCGUUGUUCGGAAUUACUGGGCGUAAAGCGUGCGUAGUCGGUAUUGAGAGUCGCGGGUGAAAUCCCAGGCUUAACCCUGGAACUGCCUGCGAGACCUCAGUACUAGAGUGUGAGAGGGAUAGUGGAAUACCAGUGUAGCGGUGAAUGCGUAGAGAUUGGGUGGAACACCGGUGGCGAAGGCGGCUAUCUGGCUCACAACUGACGAUCAGGCACGAAAGCGUGGGAGCAACAGG
rnacentral:rRNA from 1 species